GAUGAAGAACGCAGCGAAAUGCGAUAAGUAAUGUGAAUUGCAGAAUUCAGUGAAUCAUCGAAUCUUUGAACGCAUCUUGCGCUCCUUGGUAUUCUGAGGAGCAUGCCUGUUUGAGUGUCAUUAAAUUCUCAACUACACUGACUUUGAAUUGGUGUGGCUUGGAUUUGGGUGGGAAAAUUGUUGUGGGCUUUUUGUAUAGUCUGCUCCCCUGAAAUUGAUUAGCGGUACCUUUGUGGAACUGUCUACAGGUGUGAUAAUUAUCUACAUCCUAGACAUCUGCUGGAAUGCUGCUUUCUAAACCUUACUUGUAUUGACAAUCUUGACCUCAAAUCAGGUAGGACUACCCGCUGAACUUAAGCAUAUCAUAAGCGGAGGA
rnacentral:misc_RNA from 1 species